GCGACCGGGUGAGUAAUGCUUCGAUCUGCCCAGUAGUGGGGAAUAACCAGUCGAAAGACUGGCUAAUACCGCAUACGACCUAAGGGUGAAAGCGGGGGAUCGCAAGACUCGCGCUAUUGGAUGAGCCGAAGUCGGAUUAGCUAGUUGGUAGGGUAACGGCCUACCAAGGCGACAAUCCGAGCUGGUCUGAGAGGACGACCAGCCACACUGGGACUGAGACACGGCCCAGACUCCUACGGGAGGCAGCAGUGGGGAAUAUUGGACAAUGGGGGCAACCCUGAUCCAGCGACGCCGCGUGUGUGAAGAAGGCCUGCGGGUUGUAAAGCACUUUAGUGGGGAGGAAAAGCUCAACCUAACACGUCUGGGAAUUGAUUUACCAAAAGCCGGUAACUCUGUGCCAGCAGCCGCGGUAAUACAGAGGGUGCGAGCGUUAACUCGGAAUUCACUGGGCGUAAAAGCGUGCGUAGACGGUCAAUCUAAGGUCCGGGUGUGACACAUCCCCCGGGUCCAACCUGGGGGAAAUUUGGCUUUCAGAACUGGAAAUAGCUAGGGGUCACGGGAACGAGGGGACAGCCGGAAAUUUACCGCGUUGUACCGGUG
rnacentral:rRNA from 1 species